rnacentral:rRNA from 1 species
UACGUAGGGUGCGAGCGUUAAUCGGAAUUACUGGGCGUAAAGCGUGCGCAGGCGGUUCGUUGUGUCGGCGGUGAAAGCCCCGGGCUUAACCUGGGAAUGGCCGUUGAAACUGGCGAACUGGAGUGUGGCAGAGGGGGGUGGAAUUCCGCGUGUAGCAGUGAAAUGCGUAGAGAUGUGGAGGAACACCGAUGGCGAAGGCAGCCCCCUGGGUUAACACUGACGCUCAGGCACGAAAGCGUGGGGAGCAAACAGG